UAACGCGAAGAACCUUACCAGGGUUUGACAUGGGAACGCCGCGGCGAGAGAUCGCCGUUUUGCAGCAAUGCAACGUUCCGCACAGGUGCUGCAUGGCUGUCGUCAGCUCGUGUCGUGAGAUGUUGGGUUAAGUCCCGCAACGAGCGCAACCCUUGUCCAUGGCUGCCAGCAUUCAGUUGGGCACUCCACGGAGACUGCCGGUGUUAAGCCGGAGGAAGGUGGGGUUGACGUCAAGUCCUCAUGGCCCUUAUGUCCAGGGCUACACACGUACUACAAUGGGAUGGACAGAGGGAAGCGAAGGAGCGAUCCGGAGCGGACCCCAGAAAGCAUCCCCCAGUUCGGAUUGCAGGCUGCAACCCGCCUGCAUGAAGUCGGAAUUGCUAGUAAUCGCGCAUCAGCCAUGGCGCGGUGAAUACGUUCCCGGGUCUUGUACACACCGA
rnacentral:rRNA from 1 species